rnacentral:rRNA from 1 species
UACGUAGGCAGCGAGCGUUGUUCGGAAUUACUGGGCGUAAAGAGUGUGUAGGCGGUGCUCCCAGUCUGUUGUGAAAUCUCCUGGCUCAACUGGGAGGGUGCGCCGGAAACUGGAGUGCUUGAGCGUGGGAGAGGAAAGCGGAAUUCCUGGUGUAGCGGUGAAAUGCGUAGAUAUCAGGAGGAACACCUGUGGUGUAGACGGCUUUCUGGACCAUAGCUGACGCUGAGACACGAAAGCGUGGGUAGCAAACAGG